rnacentral:rRNA from 1 species
UAUUUAUAUAUUAUUUAUUUUUAAAAAUUAAAAUAGGUAUAAUUAUAAAAAAAAAUUUAUAAUAAUUAAUUUUUUGUAUAAUUUUGAUAUAAUAAUAUUAAUUAUAGUAGAAUAGUACUGUAAGGGAAAUUUAUAAUAAUAAUAAAGUAAAUUUAAUUGGUUGUAUCUUGUGUAUCAGAGUUUAUUUAAUAAAAUAUAUUUUAUUAUAUUUCUCGAAUUUAAGAGGGUGUUUAUUAUAUAAGUAUUAAUGUGAAAUAAUUAUAUUUAAUUUAAUAAAAGUAAUGAAAUGUUAUUCGUUUUUAAUGAUAUCUAGUUUUUUUAGAAAUAAAUUUAAUUUAUUAUAUAUAUAAAUAUUAAAAUAAUAUUGUAUUAAUUUUUAUAUAAAUAUAUUAUAUAUAUAAAAUAUUUUUAGGGAUAAUCUUAGAAAUAAAAAAAUUAUAAUAAAUAAGAGUAUUAAUUAAAUAUUUAUAGGGUUAAAAAUAUUCAUUAAUUAAAAAUGUUAUAAUUUAUAUUAGAUUUAAAUAAUAUUUAUUAUUAAUUUAAUUUUAUAUAAAAAUAAUAGUAAUAAUAAUUAAUAUUAUGAAAUAAUGAUAAAAUUAGUAUAUAGUUAUUAUAAGAAUAAAUUGAAUUUGAUAGGUUAAAAUAAGGAAUUCGGCAAUUAAGUGUUCACCUGUUUAACAAAAACAUGUCUUUAUGAAUAUAAUUUAAAGUCUAAUCUGCCCAUUGAGUAAUUAAAAGGCCGCAGUAAUUUGACUGUGCAAAGGUAGCAUAAUCAUUAGUUUUUUAAUUGAAAGCUGGAAUGAAUGAUUGGAUGAAAUAUUUACUGUCUUUAUUUAAAUGAUUUAGAAUUUAAUUUUUAUGUUAAAAAGCAUAAAUAUUUUUAAAGGACGAGAAGACCCUUUAAAGCUUUAUAUAUAAAUUUAUAAUAUUUAUAUUAAAGGAAAAUUAAUUAUUAUAUAUUUAUAUAUUUUAUUGGGGUGAUAGAAAAAUUUAUUAAACUUUUUUUAAAUAUUAACAUUAAUAAAUGAAUUUAUGAUCUAUAAUUUAUGAUAAAAAGAAUAAGUUACUUAAGGGAUAACAGCGUAAUGAUUUUUUAGAGAACUUAUCGACAAAAUAGAUUGCGACCUCGAUGUUGAAUUAAGAUUAUUUUUAAAUGAAGAAGUUUAAAAAUUUGGUCUGUUCGACCAAUAAUUCUUACAUGAUUUGAGUUCAAACCGGUUUAAGCCAGGUUGGUUUCUAUCCUUAAAUUAUUAAGAUUAAUUAGUACGAAAGGACCAUUAAUUUAUAUUAUAUAUUAAAUUUGAAUAAUAUU